GGGUUGUGAGGUUAAGCGACUAAGCGUACACGGUGGAUGCCCUGGCAGUCAGAGGCGAUGAAGGGCGUGCUAAUCUGCGAUAAGCGCCGGUAAGGUGAUAUGAACCGUUAUAACCGGCGAUACCCGAAUGGGGAAACCCAGUGUGACUCGUCACACUAUCAUUAACUGAAUCCAUAGGUUAAUGAGGCGAACCGGGGGAACUGAAACAUCUAAGUACCCCGAGGAAAAGAAAUCAACCGAGAUUCCCCCAGUAGCGGCGAGCGAACGGGGAGGAGCCCAGAGCCUGAAUCAGCAUGUGUGUUAGUGGAAGCGUCUGGAAAGGCGCGCGAUACAGGGUGACAGCCCCGUACACAAAAGCGCAUGUGCUGUGAGCUCGAUGAGUAGGGCGGGACACGUGGUAUCCUGUCUGAAUAUGGGGGGACCAUCCUCCAAGGCUAAAUACUCCUGACUGACCGAUAGUGAACCAGUACCGUGAGGGAAAGGCGAAAAGAACCCCGGCGAGGGGAGUGAAAAAGAACCUGAAACCGUGUACGUACAAGCAGUGGGAGCACAGGUUUACCUGUGUGACUGCGUACCUUUUGUAUAAUGGGUCAGCGACUUAUAUUCUGUAGCAAGGUUAACCGUAUAGGGGAGCCGGAGGGAAACCGAGUCUUAAUUGGGCGUUAAGUUGCAGGGUAUAGACCCGAAACCCGGUGAUCUAGCCAUGGGCAGGUUGAAGGUUGGGUAACACUAACUGGAGGACCGAACCGACUAAUGUUGAAAAAUUAGCGGAUGACCUGUGGCUGGGGGUGAAAGGCCAAUCAAACCGGGAGAUAGCUGGUUCUCCCCGAAAGCUAUUUAGGUAGCGCCUCGUGAAUUCAUCUCCGGGGGUAGAGCACUGUUUCGGCUAGGGGGCCAUCCCGGCUUACCAACCCGAUGCAAACUGCGAAUACCGGAGAAUGUUAUCACGGGAGACACACGGCGGGUGCUAACGUCCGUCGUGAAGAGGGAAACAACCCAGACCGCCAGCUAAGGUCCCAAAGUCAUGGUUAAGUGGGAAACGAUGUGGGAAGGCCCAGACAGCCAGGAUGUUGGCUUAGAAGCAGCCAUCAUUUAAAGAAAGCGUAAUAGCUCACUGGUCGAGUCGGCCUGCGCGGAAGAUGUAACGGGGCUAAACCAUGCACCGAAGCUGCGGCAGCGAACGUAUCACCCAAGACAACUUUACGGAGUUGACGAUUGACGGAGCGAAGCGACGUCAAAGCGUUCAUUAAAGUCGAGUUGGCUUAGGGAUACGUUCGUUGGGUAGGGGAGCGUUCUGUAAGCCUGUGAAGGUGUGUCGUGAGGCAUGCUGGAGGUAUCAGAAGUGCGAAUGCUGACAUAAGUAACGAUAAAGCGGGUGAAAAGCCCGCUCGCCGGAAGACCAAGGGUUCCUGUCCAACGUUAAUCGGGGCAGGGUGAGUCGACCCCUAAGGCGAGGCCGAAAGGCGUAGUCGAUGGGAAACGGGUUAAUAUUCCCGUACUUGGUGUUACUGCGAAGGGGGGACGGAGAAGGCUAUGUUGGCCGGGCGACGGUUGUCCCGGUUUAAGCGUGUAGGUGUGUGUUCCAGGUAAAUCCGGUUCACUUUAACACUGAGGCGUGACGACGAGGCACUACGGUGCUGAAGCAACAAAUGCCCUGCUUCCAGGAAAAGCCUCUAAGCAUCAGGUAACAUCAAAUCGUACCCCAAACCGACACAGGUGGUCAGGUAGAGAAUACCAAGGCGCUUGAGAGAACUCGGGUGAAGGAACUAGGCAAAAUGGUGCCGUAACUUCGGGAGAAGGCACGCUGACA
rnacentral:rRNA from 1 species